ACGAAGGUAUAGGGAGAGAGCUGAUUAAUCAGCCACCGAAGGAGUAAAACUCUCAGGUAAAAGGACCUAUUCUGGACG
rnacentral:ncRNA from 2 species